rnacentral:rRNA from 1 species
UCCCAACCCAUGUGAACGUUACCAAACUGUUGCCUCGGCGGGAUCUCUGCCCCGGGUGCGUCGCAGCCCCGGACCAAGGCGCCCGCCGGAGGACCAACCAAAACUCUUUUUGUAUACCCCCUCGCGGGUUUUUUAUAAUCUGAGCCUUCUCGGCGCCUCUCGUAGGCGUUUCGAAAAUGAAUCAAAACUUUCAACAACGGAUCUCUUGGUUCUGGCAUCGAUGAAGAACGCAGCGAAAUGCGAUAAGUAAUGUGAAUUGCAGAAUUCAGUGAAUCAUCGAAUCUUUGAACGCACAUUGCGCCCGCCAGUAUUCUGGCGGGCAUGCCUGUCCGAGCGUCAUUUCAACCCUCGAACCCCUCCGGGGGGUCGGCGUUGGGGAUCGGCCCUGCCUCUUGGCGGUGGCCGUCUCCGAAAUACAGUGGCGGUCUCGCCGCAGCCUCUCCUGCGCAGUAGUUUGCACACUCGCAUCGGGAGCGCGGCGCGUCCACAGCCGUUAAACACCCAACUUCUGAAAUGUUGACCUCGGAUCAGGUAGGAAUACCCGCUGAACUUAAGCAUAUCAAU